rnacentral:tmRNA from 1 species
GGGGACGCUUAUGGAUUUGACAGGGCGAUUGUUACAUUUAAAUUGCGAGUCGAAGCGCUGUUCUUCGUAAAAACGAGCAAAAUAAAAUAAACGCUACAGAUAAUGUUGUAGUUGCUGAUUUUUCACGUGCUCGCGCACGUAAAGCUGCUUAAUCGAACUAGCAGUUCAGCCACCUCAAUUUGUCCAACUUGCCGAUAUUUGAGGUAAAUUAUGCAAGUUGCGAUUGUGUGUUUAAAGGGCAUCCAAUCUAAGCUUUUCCUUUAAGCUUGUAAAUAGCUUAUAAUUUACUUUAAGUUAUUCUAAGUUUGAAAGUUUGACAUUAUAGCUUGAAGCUUAAACUUUAUACACUCGUAGAGGUUUAAAUGUUACCGUUUUGGACGUGGGUUCAACUCCCACCGUCUCCA